GAAAAGGACAUAGUACGUCCAUACGUACGGCCAGUGUUGUAACAUCCCAAUAAUAAUAAUAAUAAAAGAAAGAAAAAGAAUUAAAAGAAUUAAAAAGGAAGAAAAAAGAAAAGAAAAGAAAAGAAAGAAAGAUAAAUGAAAUUUUGGGUUAAGGACAAGUGGCAUUUUGCUAGCCACUUAAUUAAUUAAAAAAAAAAAAAAAGAGAAAGAAGAGAAAAAGAGAAAAGAAAAGAGGAAAGAAAAGAAAGUGUCAGAAGAAGAACAACUUCUUCAAUUUUCUUUUCUCUGUGCCGUGAACCCAAGAGAAGAGCCAUCUUCUUUAUUUUCUUCCUACACCAAAAAUUUCUCCAAAUUUCCAUCUUCAAUCAACUACCCAUCUUACCCCAACACCUN
rnacentral:lncRNA from 1 species